rnacentral:lncRNA from 1 species
UUCUUUCAGCCCAAGCUUCUCUUUUUCUUCAGCGAUAUCUUCAAGCUUAGCAGUCAUCUCCUUCACCCUGGACUCCAUGCUUUGAUUGGAAAAUGGAGCCUUAACCCUGGUAGAGAACUUGUUCCACACCUGAUAAAUUCCACCAGGUUGGGAGUCAGCAACUUCAAUCUCGCACCGCAAGGCUUCGGUAGCGAUCUCGUCCAACAGGUCCUCCGCAUGAUACACAGCAUCCUUAACCUGGAAUAGCCACUCUUUGACUAGUGGGUCUGAAAUUUGCUUCAUCUCCGCAUCAUUGAGCACUUUGUGGACAACCAGCAAUUUCCUCUUCAAUUUGUUGAGGAGUUCAUGGCUAAGCUUCUGUCCCCGGAUGAAGUUCAUCAACUCCGGAGAAGCCAACCUGUCGAAUAGAACUUGAAGUGAAGCGGAGAGGAGUACACCCAGGCACAAAUAUCUAAAGCCGUAUUUUCAAAAAAAUUUGGUUACCAACCAAGAAAUACCAUGUGGUUUUGGCCUCUUAAAUAUUCAAUCACAAGUACAUUCUAUAUGAUUUUAAGCUACUAGAGAAGUAUGAAAAAGAAAAUUAUGAGAAUGUCAACCAGUGUGGAAACUAAUUUCCUCAAGUAACUUCUCUCAAUAUCCUUUUCCUUUGUGACAAUAUUAAAGACCUAUGGUUACAAGUUUCAACUUAAUUUUUGUCUCCGGACUUACCAUGCGAACAUACUUGAGUCUGAUUGUAACUCAACCCAACCAAGCAAGGGCCAUCCAUAGUUGAUACCAUUGACGUUGGUUGAUGGAAUUGAGUCACAAGCUAGUCCAGCUUGACUAAAAGUCAAGUAUACUCUCAAAACGAACUUUCUUGAGAUUGAGAACAAACCUUGUAUCAUAAAAAGUUCAGAAGAAUAAAUCCGGAGAAUAUUUAAUAUAGUCAACAACGAACUCUUCUUCUUCAUAAGAGCUGGUGAAUUAGCUCAUAAUGUAGAAGAGUAAAUUUUCUAAAGCAUGAAGAUGGGGAAUAAGCUCAAAAUCAUCAUUUCUAUACAAUAUCAAAAAGUUCAAUGAGAGAAUUGUACUCAACUACUUUAAGAUGAUAACAACAUCAAAAUAAAAAACAGAACCGCAAAAGUCUUAUAGUCAAGACAAUUUAAUUACAAUAUUCGUCGUGGGAAUUUUGCGGUAUAGACCUUCAUUCAGACUUGGACUUUUUAAUGUUCUUUAUGAAUAAACAAUUGGCUCCUGCUCAAAUGAAAAAUGAGAACCAAUGCUUAUAGUCACAGACAGAAGUGUAUGUACGCAUGGCAAUGCCAAAUUUGCAAAUGAUCAUUUGGUCAUAGUCAAGACCAAGAAAAUCCAAAACAAGAACAAUAGAAACAUGUGUACCAACUACAUAACAAAGAAAUGUGUCAAUCUGCUCACCUUUUGAAGGUUGUCCACUGGGUUAGUGCAAAAUAGACUGACUUUUUUUAUAGGGGCCCUCAAUCAGUGCUGGAUGCUGAACCAGAAGAGAGUUUAGAUACUAAAAAAUUCUAUAAAUUUAAUACCAUAAAAUACCUCACAUAAAAAUGUUGCUUUUGGAACUGUAGUUUUCCAAAUGUUCCCAAAUUUAAAAAUACAUUGGCAUAAAGUUAUUGAUGUUUACCUCAUAUUUUUUUCCAUGGUCAUAUCAAACAUUGUUCUCAUAGUAAGUCUUCUAUAUGCUGAUCCUUGUUACUUAAUAUGAGACACAGAAAAGAAAAAGUAGUGAUCAAUUUAUUUUGAUAUCAAAGGGAGCAAAGUCAUAACAUGUACAUUACAUAUGUAGCCAACUAAAUACAUAUUAUGAUGUGGGUAAGAUUCAAUACAUAUUUCAAUAACCAUGAAUUACCUAAAAAUGUAUCCACAUGUUCUUACAAGGGAUAAACACACAAGUAGCUAAAAGUCAUCUCUGCCCAUUCCGAAAGGUAAAUUGAUGGUGUCAUGAAAAUAUGAUAAAUGACUUCUUUAAAAUAUGAAUUAUCAUGGAUCAAUCUUUCUUUACUUCAUUAGAAAAUUCUUAAAAAGAAAAAAAGAAAAAAAAAAAAAGAAAGACAGGAUUGAGCAUGCUACAUAACCAAAUUCCCAAUAAGAAGACUAGAAAAUGAGUUAUGGAGACAUGCAAUUGUAGAGAUUGUUAGAAAUUUUGAAACAUGAGUACUUGGGCAGCUACUUUAUGAAUUGGAACUUAACUUUUCUAAAGAAAAUAGGUUUAAGCAUAGAACAAAUUACCUAACUGUAUAUUAAUGCAGUACCACUUUCAUUAAAAUAGCAGACCAUUGAUCACUAUUUUUGGAGUUGAGAGAGGGCAAUUGCAUAUAUACAAGAUCAUGGGAUUAUGUUCCCUCUGGAACUCGAUUUUGUUUAUCAAUAGCCCGUGUACCACAUUCUUUUCUGCUCCCCCUUCAUCUGCUUGGCAACAGGGCAAUUGAAAAAAAUUUCGUCUUUAGAAUCUGUACCCAAGAAAGAAUACCCAUACAGGAAACAAUCUGGACAACCUCCCAUCUUCAUCAAGCAAUACAAUGGUUGUUAAAUCCACAAAUCCCACUACCAUGGCUACUGGUGUCUAUGCUGCGAAUGUCAUCAGAAAUUUCCUACACGACAGACCAAGAAGAAGUAUUUGUUUUUAAAAUCAGAAGCUUCUAUAUAUAAGUAAAGCAUCUUAUACAAAGAGUAUAGAUUUAACUUGUGUCUUUAAAACUUACAUUUUAAAAAAUUUUAAAAUUUGAGAGAAUAAGAGCUUGUUGGACAAAGUUUUAAAAAAUAAUUUUUCAUUUUUAAAAAUGGAAAACAGUUUUAAAAAAUUAAUAACAUUGUUUGGUUAUUCUUCUCUAUUUCCCGUUUUUAAAAACAAAGUAAAAUAAAGAAUAUCUUCUAGAAAACAAGUAAAAGUUAUUUUCAUCUGUUUUUUAAAAUAAUAGAAAAACACAUGCAUUCUAUUAUUUAUCUUCUACAUAAAAUUAUCAUUUGUCAAUUAAAAUUAUCAUUUGUUUUUAAAAAAAUUGUUUCAUAAUGAAAAAAAAAUUAUUUAUCUUUAACUAAUAUAUAAUUGUGUAUUUAAUUUUUAUUUUUUUAAUAAGACUUAACUUGAAUUUGAUUUCAUAUUAUUAUAAAUUAAUUUUAUAAAAUAAAAAUAAUCCAUUGUUUUAAAUUUGAAAACAAUUUUUAAAAAUAAAUUUUAAAAAACACCACCAAAUGAGCCCUAAAUUUUUUUUGAUACCUUCAUUGUUUUAAACAGUUUUUAAAAUUAUUAAAUUUUCAAUGUAAGCCUUUAAGAGUUAAAAUACAAAAGUUACUGUCACUUAAUUUUAGGCUUAACAAUGUAGGAGAUUUAAGUGGAGGCAAGGAAUUAAGCAGAUAUAUUCUUGAGAUUAGAAAUUUGGGUGGAACAUAAAUUUUGUAAAGAAAAUAAGUUUAAGCACACAAAAAUUACCUGCCCAUGUGUUGGUGCAGUGCCACUUCCAUUAAAAUAGCUCACCAUCGAUCACUAUUUUUGGAAUGUGAGAUAUAUAACGCCAUUCUUGCCCUUUCUCAAAUCGGAGCUGUUGUUUCAGUAAAGGACACCUGCUGACAUACAGAUAAGAGAGGGAGUCUGGUAGUCUCUCUUUUGUCAAGUAUUGGAGCUUAGGGCAAUUGAAGAGAAUUAAGUUUUCAAGAGUGGUGACGUGGUGAAGACCCGCUUCUGUCAAGGAUUAGAGACUUUUGCACGAGUAGAUUCUUAAUUCCUUGAGAGAGAUAAGGCGUUGAAGAACAGAUCUUGUCGAGAAUUGAAGCUCAGGGCAGUUCUCGAUGUGUAAUUGUAGAAGAGAGGUGAGUUGUUGAAGCCCCUUGUUGUCAAGAGACUUGAGAUUUGGAAGACUAUAGAUUGAAAGAUAAGUUAGAGAAGAGGGCAGCAGACACUCCUUGGAAAAUAAUUCCACUCCUUCACAUCCACCUUGGAUUAUGAAACGAGUAAGAGAGGUCAGUUUUUGCAAAUCCCAGUCCACCUGUGACGUGAGUUGGUUGCAGCGCACUAUUGCAAGUUCCCGUAGGUUGGAAGGCAAACCCUCUCUGUGCAACAACAAUUCGGGACAAUCCUCUAAACCCAGUUUCUGCAGAGAUGAAUGGGUGUGCGCCAGCAAUCUGAGCUUGGAGCAAUUGCGAAUCUCAUGGUAUAUCGAGUCGAGAGUGGGCAGUUGGAUGUAUACAAGAUUAGGGCACCGAUGGAUCUUCAAAUUACGAAGAGAUGUGGGAUCUCCCUCUGAAAUCGAGAUGCAGAGCUCCUCAAGCCCCUUAAGACCAUUUAUUUCGAAAUCAGUCAACCUGGGGAAGAUGUUCAAUAUUGAGAAGGACAACAAGAGAGAAUCACAGGUACCGCCAUUGAUUGAUAGAUUUUCAAGAACCGGGUGAUGGCAUCUGAACAACUUAGGUAGAAGAAGGUCCAAUUUGGUACAAUCAGAGAUUGAUAACGAUUUCAAUGUACUGGGUAAGCCAACUUUGUUUGGGGAUCUGUAAAAAGAGCAAUCACAAAUUUCCAAACUGUACAUGUUGGUUUUCAGGAUUUCCUCCUCUAGUAGAGACUCCACAGAAUCACAUUUUCUAAUGUAGAGAAUGUGGGGAACCAUUGGAAGUUCCUUCAACUGAGAGACCUUUGAAAUUUCAAUUUCUGAAGUUUGACUAGCUGUGAACCCACAAGUUUGCCUUUUCAACUGCAAUUCACGGGCAGCAUGAACGUUGAGUGUAGGCACAAGCAGUUGCAGACAAUCUUCAAGUUUAAGUUCCUGCAAUGAAGAAAGGUGCAUUGGUAAUUCCCCAGUGAGUUUUGGACAUAGCCUUAUAGAAAGCUCUUGGAGACGAGGGAAUUCUCCACAUAUGCCUCCACAACAUAACCAUUUCUCCCAAUUGGACAUAUCUUCAAAUGAUAGAGUUUGUAGGGAUGGGAAGGAGGGAUGAAGCGAGGAAGAAGAAUUCCCAUAAAACUCACUACCCACCCUCACUACUCCUUUCAUUUCAGAGAUCUCUAUAUGUUCAAGACAAGGUAGCUGCCCCAGUGGCGGCAAUGUUGAGCAAUUCCCACAAUUCGAAAGCUGAAGGGAUACGAGAUUUGAAAAUGAUCCGUCUCCAAGCCAAUCUGGAAAUGUUAGACCAGGAUAGUGUUGAAUGGACAGUUUUUCUAAAUUUGGAUGAGGUGUUAGCCUGUUGAGAAUAUCAUCUUGUAUAGCAUCAUGACUAAUCCCCCGACUCCAAUUCAAGGAUAACUCAUCGAGGUAUUUCUUAUCCUUCAUAUUUGCCUGCAAUGCAUCCUCAACACCCACCACAUUCUCCAUUUUUGAAAUUUCAAGUCUUCCUCUAAUCUCUGAAAGCUUCCACAAUUCUCCAAAUCCGAAUCCACUUUUUUGGCCCACAGUAAAAUUAGGCAAUUUCUGCAAACUUUUUAAUUGAUCCAUAUCAUUUGGCAUUUCUUUCAAUGAAUCAGUCUCGCUAACAUCAAGAUAGCGCAAAUUAAUCAACUUCCCCAUUUUUGAAGGCAAUUCAAGAAGAGAUUGACAAUUCCUCAGCAUCAUCGUUUGCAAAUAGCAUAAACAACAUAUUGAUUCAGGUAAUCUUUUAAUCUUUGUUGCAGAGAGAUCCAAGUAACGCAAUUGUUUUAAAUUGUGUAUUGAAUUAGGCACAUCUGUUAUGUAGUAUUCACACAAUGACAACACGCGCAAGGAUUUAAAUUUUGGUAAUAUAUUUUGUAAAACUCUUGUACUCAAUUGAUAAAAAGGAUAGUGCUGUAAUCUCUUCACCUCUAAGAAUGUUCUGAGAUGUUUGGCUUCACCAACAGGCUCAAAAGUUUCAAAUACAACUACCGGGUACUCGUCACUUUUAAAGUGGAGAAAAUGGCGAGCCUUAUCAGAUAUUUUUUGCAGCUUACAAUCUUCCAAUCGAAUGCAAAAUUCUUGGGAGAUAUGUUGAGCCAAGUCAUGUAUUAGAUCAUGCAUUACAAAGCAUGAUUCUUCUUCUCUAAUGCACUUUUGAAAGAAUGACUUUGCUAAAAGUUCAUUAAAAUACGAAUCACCUACCUCUUCCAUUCUUCUAUUACUUUGUCCCGAGUGUAAAAGCCCUUCUGCCAUCCAUAAUAGAAUCAGCUUCUCUUUGUGGAAUUCAUAGUCCUUGGGAAAAAUUGAACAGUAAGCAAAACAACGCUUCACAGGUAGGGAAAGAUGCCGAUAACUCAAUCUAAGAGAUGGAAGAAUUUCAUGAUCAGUCUGAGAAUGCCAUGUUUUGCUAUUCAAAAUAUCUUCCCAUUCUCUUCUUUCGGGCUUAGAGUACAAGAGACUCCCCAGUGCUUUCACAGCCAAAGGCAAUCCUUGGCACUUCUUCACAAUCUCUCUGCCUAUGGGUUCAAGCUGAGGAUAAGCGCAGGGGUCUCCAUUUGGAAAUGCAAGUUUUGUAAAUAGGUACCAACUAUCUUCAGGGCUUAAUGUUCCCAGCUGAUGAGUAUGGAUUGCACGCAUGACUUUCGCAACAGUUUCGCUACGACUGGUCACAACAAUCUUGCUUCCCUGGGCUGCAGCGAGGAGUGGAGUUCGUAGUCUAUCCCAACUUUCCCAAUCAAGAGACUUCACAUCCCAGAUGUCGUCGAGAACGAGCAGAAAUUUCUUGUUGCCAAGGUUGUCUUUGAGUUGACGUUGAAGCAAAUCUAGGCUGUCAUCGGAAGUAGGUCUACAACCGAUUGCCCCAAGAAUUGAUUUGGUUACACCGAUAAGAAGAAACUCCGUGGAAACACAGACCCAUGCUUUCAGGUGGAAGUGUUCCUUCACUCUGCCAUCGUUAUAGAGAAGCUGAGCGAGUGUGGUCUUGCCGCUGCCGCCCAUGCCCACUAUGGACAUCACAUCUAUGACGUUGUUGGCUGUUGCAGUUUCCUUGUCAGAAAGCAACCACUUCACCAUCUCCUCCUUAAUUUCAUCCCUGCCGUACACGAAGGACUCUUCCACCAAAGAAGAGGAUGGUAAUUUUGGUGACACUCUCUCACCAUCUCCUUCUUUCAGCCCAAGCUCAACUUUUUCUUGUGCAAUAUCUUCAAGUUUAGCAAUCAUCUCCUUCACCCUGGACUCCAUGCUUUGAUUGGAAAAUGGAGCCUUAACCCUGGUAGAGAACUUGUUACACACCUGAUGAAUUCCACCAGGUUGGGAGUCAGCAGCUUCAAUCUCGCACCGCAAGGCUUCGGUAGCGAUCUCGUCCAACAGGUCCUCCGCAUGAUACACAGCGUCCUUAACCUGGAACAGCCACUCUUUGACUAGUGGAUCUGAAAAUUGCUUCAUCUCCGCGU